rnacentral:rRNA from 1 species
GAUCAUGGCUCAGAUUGAACGCUGGCGGCAUGCUUUACACAUGCAAGUCGAACGGUAACAGGUCUUCGGACGCUGACGAGUGGCGAACGGGUGAGUAACACAUCGGAACGUGCCUAGUAGUGGGGGAUAACUACUCGAAAGAGUAGCUAAUACCGCAUGAGAUCCAAGGAUGAAAGCAGGGGACCUUCGGGCCUUGCGCUACUAGAGCGGCUGAUGGCAGAUUAGGUAGUUGGUGGG